rnacentral:lncRNA from 1 species
CACGGGUAGGUUUAUAGCUAACACUGUUUCAGAUAUAUGUAGAUAUUUUUGCUUUAGUGAUAAAAUAAUGGCAAUUUCUAUGGAUAAUGCUUCUAGCGUCGAUGCGGGAGAGCUUUGAAAAAUCAGUGCUUUUUAGAGAUUGGAUCCGCGCAGAAAGAAAGAACUUUGGCAUAGAAGAAUCACAACCGGCAAUAGAUGAGGCAUAUGAAGAAAUGAUUGCAGAACUUGCUGAGGAAGUGACUUCACCCGGAAGUGGUGAUGAACAAGCUUCAUUUCCACCACCGCCAACACAACCACCUCCCAACCUUGACGGAUUUAU